UCAUUUUGGCGCGAAAGCAAAACCAGAGAAUGUCAGCAGGAGGAGAAGACGAGAGAGAAGAGUACCAAGUAGAAGAAGAGUUCAGCGUGUGGAAGAAGAACACCCCAUUUCUCUACGAUUUGAUUCUCUCUCACUCUCUGGAAUGGCCUUCUCUCACUGUCCACUGGCUCCCUUCCACCCCUUCCACUUACGCCGACGACACCUACGCCAUCCACAAGAUGAUUCUCGGCACCCACACUUCCGAAGAUUUCCCCAAUUUCCUCCUCGUUGCUGAUGCCCAUUUGCCGCUCCAUCCUGCUUCCGUCCCCAACACGAAUAUCGAAGACCCCAUUCUUCCCAAGGUCCACCCUUUUCCGCUACUAAUUUAGUUACAGCUUUACAACUAUACUGCUUUCCUUUGAUUAAUUGAUUGCGUAUAUGGGUUUUACGGGUUGUGCUAUUGUUUUGAAGAAACUUUGCAAGAUGAUUUCAAGUGUAUUCCAUUUGCAUAUUAGAUGAUAAGAGGAAAGAUAGGUGUUUACUCAAAAUUGUGGAGCUUUACGACAUUACUGCUAACCUUGAUUAAUUGAUUGUGUAUAUCGGUUUUAUGGAUUUUGCUAUUGUUUGGAGAUAUUUGACAAAAUGUUUUCAAGUGUAUUACAUUUGCAUAUUAGAUAAUAAGAGGAAAGAUAGGUGUUUACUCAAAAUAGUGGAGGCACGGAGCCUUAGGUAGGCUACAUGGAUAUGUUCAUUUGCAAGUGUGUUAGUAGAGGAUCUUAAUACAUCUAUUGUCUUUGUUAUUUGUUCUUUACCUAAACCACCCCCUUUUUCGGAUUGAAAAGCUGACCUGGGCUUCUUCCCUUAUAGCUAUUGCUUUAGGAUUAGGCAUAAAUAUAAGUCAGUUUUUUGGGUUUAGUAUCUACUGAUUUAUCUCAUUUACCCUUCUCCUCUCCUUCACCUCUAUGUUUCAGUAAUUAGUGAAAGAUUUUUAAAGGUAGAAGUCAUCCUAUUACUUCUUUAUUAUCCUCUCUGGUAUGAAAAUCUUCAUAUUUAUUAUUUUUACUAUUUUUCUGUCGUUAAAAAUUUCAUUUCUAUUCACUUGCCUUUAGUAGCAAUUUCUAAAGAGCAGACAAUUGGAUCUUUUGAAGUUAUUUUACAAAUUGGUGAUUCUCUUCUAAUGUAUUUCUAUUUGGGUUCUCACUGUACUGUAUGAUAAUGGCAUCAGUAUGGUUGUACUAUAUAGCAGAUUAAAAAUGGAAACCAUAAGGAUGUUUAUAUGUAGACACCAAUAUGGUGAUUCUUUAGGCAAACAUAUAAAUUAGUCGGAAUAGGAUGUACUUAACUGUUGCAAGCAGUGUCAACUAACAAAAGGGAAAGAAAUAUAUACAAAAGAGCUUUAAAUUUAAAGAAAAAUCUUCAAAGCAGAUCUGUGCCAUGGACAAGGAGCAAGACUUAAUGCUAAUUGCAAGUUUUUCUUAAAUAUUAAUUUCUUAAAUUGUAAAGAAUCUAAUCUCAUAUUUCGUUUGCAUAAUAUUAUUUUAAAAUAUAUAAUUAAAUCAUACUUUAUUUAAUUAGGAAACUCUAUUUGAUCAUAAAAAAAAUUAAUAUUUUUUAACUAUAAAAUAGGAUUAUUAUAUAUGUGUUGUUCGUUAAUAUUAAAAGUUAUAUUAUGCAAGUACAAAAAUGCCUCUCGGACUUAAGAUUAGCGGCUCUUUUUAACGGAAUCGAGAUCGCAAAUAUAGACUGCAAUAAACUUACCAACCGCCACGUUUCAAAGUAUGGAUAGUCCUAUGAGUCAAAAUUGAGGAUCAGAAACAUUUAAUUCUUCCGACUAAUAUAAACGCGUGAACCAAACGGACACCUAAAUACAUAGAAUUCGGCCCCUCGCAAACAUGAGUUGAGCCCAGCCCAGCGAAUUCCAUCUAACCACUAUGAUGCCUUGCCUUUGAGCUAGUCCCUUUUAUAUAAAAUUAAAACCCUGGCCAACACACACACAGAGAGAAACCCUCCAUCUUCGCCGGUAUCAUUUUUGCGCGAAAAGCUUGAGAAUGUCAGGAGGAGAAGAGGAUAGAGAAGAGUACCAAUCAGAAGAAGAGUUCAGCGUGUGGAAGAAGAACGCCCCAUUUCUCUACGAUUUGAUUCUCUCCCACUCUCUGGAAUCACCUUCUCUCACUGUCCAUUGGCUCCCUUGUGCCCCUUGCACUUACGCAGACGACACCUACGCCAUCCACAAGAUGAUUCUCGGCACCCACACUUCUGAAGAUUUCCCCAAUUUUCUCCUCGUUGCUGAUGCCCAUUUGCCUCUUCAUCCUG
rnacentral:lncRNA from 1 species